rnacentral:rRNA from 1 species
AACGAACGCUGGCGGCAGGCUUAACACAUGCAAGUCGAGCGCCCCGCAAGGGGAGCGGCAGACGGGUGAGUAACGCGUGGGAAUCUACCCAUCUCUACGGAAUAACUCAGGGAAACUUGUGCUAAUACCGUAUACGCCCUUCGGGGGAAAGAUUUAUCGGAGAUGGAUGAGCCCGCGUUGGAUUAGCUAGUUGGUGGGGUAAAGGCCUACCAAGGCGACGAUCCAUAGCUGGUCUGAGAGGAUGAUCAGCCACACUGGGACUGAGACACGGCCCAGACUCCUACGGGAGGCAGCAGUGGGGAAUAUUGGACAAUGGGCGCAAGCCUGAUCCAGCCAUGCCGCGUGAGUGAUGAAGGCCCUAGGGUUGUAAAGCUCUUUCACCGGUGAAGAUAAUGACGGUAACCGGAGAAGAAGCCCCGGCUAACUUCGUGCCAGCAGCCGCGGU